UGCUCAUCUCUUCAUAUUUCUCUCUAUUUUUUCUCCUCCACUUCUUUCAUUUUCUUCCCGAAUUCGUGUUCUUCCACCAAACUGAUACCGAUCAAGACGACGAUCAUGGUAGCCUGCUAUCAAUCCAGUUGGAACCAUCUCAACCAGGUAGCCCCUACCCUAAAAAAAUUAAAAUAACUUGAAAAAAAAAAUUAGUCAUAAUAAAAAUGGCUCAAAAUUAGGAUCGAAUAUAUUGCAUUAUUGUAACGAUUCAUGUUCAAGAUUCAGAUUAGGAUUUGAAAUCCAGAUUCGGUACUUGAUGGACCCGACAUUCUCCUGCGACA